rnacentral:rRNA from 1 species
UAGGGAAUCUUCCACAAUGGACGCAAGUCUGAUGGAGCAACGCCGCGUGAGUGAAGAAGGUUUUCGGAUCGUAAAGCUCUGUUGUUGGUGAAGAAGGAUAGAGGUAGUAACUGGCCUUUAUUUGACGGUAAUCAACCAGAAAGUCACGGCUAACUACGUGCCAGCAGCCGCGGUAAUACGUAGGUGGCAAGCGUUGUCCGGAUUUAUUGGGCGUAAAGCGAGCGCAGGCGGAAGAAUAAGUCUGAUGUGAAAGCCCUCGGCUUAACCGAGGAAUUGCAUCGGAAACUGUUUUCUUGAGUGCAGAAGAGGAGAGUGGAACUCCAUGUGUAGCGGUGGAAUGCGUAGAUAUAUGGAAGAACACCAGUGGCGAAGGCGGCUCUCUGGUCUGCAACUGACGCUGAGGCUCGAAAGCAUGGGUAGCGAACAGGAUUAGAUACCCUGGUAGUCCAUGCCGUAAACGAUGAGUGCUAAGUGUUGGGAGGUUUUCCGCCUCUCAGUGCUGCAGCUAACGCAUUAAGCACUCCGCCUGGGGGAGUACGACCGCAAGGUUGAAAC